rnacentral:rRNA from 1 species
UACGUAGGGUGCGAGCGUUGUCCGGAAUUAUUGGGCGUAAAGAGCUCGUAGGCGGCCUGUCGCGUCGGAUGUGAAAACUCGGGGCUUAACCCCGAGCCUGCAUUCGAUACGGGCAGGCUAGAGUUCGGCAGGGGAGACUGGAAUUCCUGGUGUAGCGGUGAAAUGCGCAGAUAUCAGGAGGAACCCCGGUGGCGAAGGCGGGUCUCUGGGCCGAUACUGACGCUGAGGAGCGAAAGCGUGGGAGCGAACAGG